CUGAUUUUUUAAAUUCUGUUGACUUCAGUCUUUAAAAUAUAGUCCUCAAGAAUAUUAUUUUUAAAACUGUUUUUGAAGUACUUUGUUGCAAUAAUCAUAUUUCAAACAGUUCCUUUUACUAGCUGAUUUUUUUAGUCUGUUGACUUUCAUCUUUAAAAUGUAGUCCACGUAGUCCAUAUAUUGUCCUCAUUAAUGUCAUUUUUAAAAAAGUUUUAAGUUAUUUUGCAGCAUUUUAUCUCAUUUCACUCAGAAUAUAGGGCUACAGUCACUUCUGGACGAGUGAAGAGGUGCAUUCUAUUAUUUGAACUGGUGAUGUAAAGCUUUUUGAACAGGUACAGAAAUGGAUUGGUUCAAGUUUGGGGCACAGGUAAAUAAUGCAGAGACAUCGCCUCAGGACAGCUACAAAAGAGAGGACUUCUUUCUAACUGUUUUACUCAGAAAAAAGCAGCUGUAUAUGUAUAUGAACUGGGUAAUCAAUUUAAAACAGAUAAUCCCCUUUGAACUCAACAGAAAAUGAUCAGUAAUCACAGUAGUGCUUUUUCUACAUCAUGUGUAAUAAUGGAAUUUUGAAAAAGUCUGAAGUCAAAAUCAUGUGAUAUGAACUUAUUGAAACAGAAAUGUUUUAAAUGCUACAGAAAUCCCUCUGUGAAGCACCACCUACUGUCAUGGUUUCAUUUGAGCAUUUGCUCCUCAGAUGUGGGUGGUUUAGUGAUGUCAUUUGAAUGCUGUCAUCUUUAACGUUUUCUUGUAUUCCUGCUAAAACUAAACUGCUAUGUGAAGGAUUGUGUUGGUGGUAUUGAAGGUUGUUGGUUUGAAAAUUAACAUUUUUUUCUUAUAAGCUGUCUCCCUGUGCAGCCUUGAGUUGGACUGGGGACUCGUCCAGGUUGAACCUUCCCCCUGAGCCAGCGGGAUAGGCAGCAGCCCCCCGCGGCCCAACAGAGGAUUGAGUGGUUUAUAGAUCAUGCAUGGAUGGAAUUCUUAAUUACUGAAGAAAAAUGAUGAAGUUUUUGCUAAAAUAAUUGUUUCAAAACGCUGAACAUGGAAUGCAUUGUUAUUAGAAGUGGAAAUCUGGAUUGUAUUUAAUAAUGUAACAGAUUUGUAGAAUGUCUUUUUUAUAUUAUUCUAAUGUAUAAUUUUUCUGACAAGCAACCCUGUAUGUGCUUAAAAUGAAACCAAUAAACCAAAAGUUUUAUAAAGGACAUGAAAGACAUUUUUAAGUUGCUCAUUUAUUCCAAUUUCUUCCUUUCUUCCUCUCUCAACUCUCUGACUAGCGGAAGCGAGACAGCAGCCCAGCAGACCACCCGGAGCCUCCAGCCAAGCGGCCCUGCACCACCUCUGGCUCUCAGCGUGGAGGCGAGGAACCAUCCCGGCCGGAGGUACACGCUGCCCAGCCAGAAAGGAGCACCAGCCCCCAGCCGUCCACCUCUGGCACACAGCAUCACCCUGAAGAGCCACAGAUAAGUCCCAGCCCCCAACCGUCCACCUCAGACUACGAUUCAGACUCUGUCAUAGAUUUUAAUAUCGAUACAUGUUCAGAGUUAGAGUCAGAUGACGAGUCAGAUUCUCUUUUUGACUCUGAUUCCCAGGACGAGAGCCACAGCCCCCCGAUGUCCAACUCUGCUGUGGAGGAGGAGCUGGUCAUUUUGUUCAGCUACGAAGGUCUUUGGGCCGAGGAAAACGAGGGCCAGCCCGUCGUCCACUUCCCAUCUGGACUACCAGACGCCGAGGUUGUUGAGGUACUGGACUCGGUUUGGGACCACUGGGUUUGCUCUCCUUACACACGUGAGAUGUAGCUUUCCUUUCAGUGAGUAGCUGGUCACACAUAGGGCAUUUAGUGGCAUAUUCCAUCGCCACACAAGGAUUUCUGAAUCUUUCUGUACAGCUCUUUCUUUUCCUACUUUCAAAAAACAAAAAAAGACCAAAAAAAAUCUUUACCUUUUAGAAACACUAAUGGUAAGGUUAGGACCCUCUAAGUUAAGGAUUUCUGAAUCUUUCUGUACAGCUCUUUCUUUUCCUACUUUCAAAAACAAAAAAAGACCAAAAAAAAACCUCUUUACAGUGUAUAGACACUAAUGGUAAGGUUAGGAUACUCUGAGUUAAGGAUUUCUCAAUCUUUCUGUGCAGCUCUUUCUUUUCCUACUUUCAAAAAACAAAAAAAGACCAAAAAAAAAACCUCUUUACAGUGUAUAGACACUAAUGGUAAGGUUAGGACCCUCUAACUUAAGGAUUUCUCAAUCUUUCUGUACAGCUCUUUCUUUUCCUACUUUCAAAAAACAAAAAAAUGACAAAAAAAACUCUUUACAGUGUAUAGACAGUAAUGGUAAGGUUAGGAUACUCUGAGUUAAGGAUUUCUCAAUCUUUCUGUACAGCUCUUUCUUUUCCUCCUUUAAAAACACACAAAAAAUAAAAAUAAAAAAAAUAAAAUCCUAUGUAGAUAAACUUAAGAUAAGUUUAGGAUUCUUAUUCAAGUUUAAGUAUUUCUAUAUCUUUUGUACAGCUCCUUAUAUUUUUGCUUUGUAAAGUUUCAAAGCAGAUGGAAAGGGCUUAGAAGAGGGUCUUCAGAAAUGUUCCAUUCAAAUCCAUUAAAUCUGUGUUUAAUUUGAUUGUUUUGACUGAAGCACAGAUAGAAAAUGCUUCCACAAUUCUCAUUUUCAAUAUCUAUUUUAUUGUUUCUAUCACCAUUUAUGAUAUGACGAGAAAUUAAAUACGAAUUUGUAGACUAGUUUUACACUUUUUAUUAUUGUUAUUUUUGAAUGGAACAUUUCCAGAGGGUUAGGGUCCUUCUGCUGCUGCACUGAACAUGUAACAUGUCGUUUGUUUUUUCACAUUUAGAGAUUGCUGUAUUUUUAGUUUCUGGACCCAGCACAGCUCUGUGAAAUUUGAAGUUGUUCACUGUAAUAUCUGUUUGAUGCAAACAGUUAUUUCUCCUAUUUAUGAGCCAUUUAUGUGUCAAACAUAUUCAUACACCUUGUGCACAAAACAUUAAAAGAAGACUGGUGUAAUUCCACAGACAGUCUGCAGAUGUUUCAGGUUCAGUGCAGCCACAGAGACAGGGUGGGUGGACCCUCUUCAAGCCCUUUACCUCUGUUAUCAUUGAUACUGUUGGGUACCACAUUAUUAUUCAUUAGUCCUUUCUUCCUGUUGGGUUGAAUUUAUUAGUUUUUUCUAUUUGAUUUUAAAAUCUUCAAAUUUACACCAUUUAAAGUCUCUGCAAAAGACAAAAGUUUGAGAAAGAGGUCAUUCUUUAAAGCGAUGUCUUUCCUUGUCCACAUUGCCACCUUAGUUAAAGCAGACAUUUGAAUGUGAGAUUGUAACAGCAGGAGAUGACUUUAGGAGGGUCUGUAGGAAAUGCUCCAUCCAUAUAAUUUCAGUGUUAUUAUUGUUAUUUGAUUUUUUCCAUUAAUAAUGUCUGAUUUAUUUGAUACAUCUCACUGUAUUAAGUGGUGAGAUCUUUAAACAAUAUUCUGAACAAAAACUAAUUAUUGUCUCAAUGAUAAGAGUCAUAUUUGUAUGGAGCAUUUCCAAAGGGUUGAGGUUAGGGAGGGUCAGACCCUCCUAGAGUCUUUUUCCUCUUUUACAAAAGUUACGAUUUUAUAUUUUCACAAUGAAUUAUGUCUUUUCUUUUAGUUGAUUGGGAUUAUUGUUGUAAAAUCUUGAAAGAAAAAACGUCUGAAUUUUUCCGACAAAAAAAUGAACAAAUGUUUAAGAUGCCGCUCAGUAAUGGUAGUUUUAGAAUUAUUCUUUCUUUGCCUCUUUCACAACUUUGUAACAGGAGUGUAAAAGCAGGAAAUGACUUUAGGAGGGUCUUCAGGAAAUGCUCUAUCCAAAUUAUAGUUUUAUUAUUAGUAGUUUUAUUACAAUAUGUCCAGUGACAUUCUCAGUAUCAGGCCGACUUCUUUCAUCUCACUGUAUUAACUGGUGAGCUCUUGAAACAAUAUUCUGAAACUACAAUUCAGUGUUUAAACAGAAUUUACUGUCUAAUCAAAAUGAUCAGAGAGUUACAUUUGAAUGGAGCAUUUCCAAAGGGUUGAGGUUAGGGAGGGCCAGACCCUCCUAAAGUCUUUUUCCUCUUUUACAGAUGUUACUGCUUGAUGUCACUAUUGUUAUUGAUAAGUCUUUCCUAUCAGUUGUACAUUUUGAAAAGCCAUUCAAAUUCUGUGAUAGAGAAAAAUGUUUAAGAUGUUGUUUGGUAAUGUUAAGUUUCCUGUAACAGCAGGAGAUGACUUUAGGAGGGUCUUCAGGAAAUGCUCCAUCCAAAUUAUAGUUUUAUUAUUAGUAGCAUUAUUACAAUGUGUCCAGUGACAUUCACAGUAUCAGACUGACUUGUUUCAUCUCACAGUAUUAAUUGGUGAGAUCCUGAAACAAUAUUCUGAAACUAACAGAUUAUUGUGUCAACGAUAAGAGUCAUAUUUGUAUGGAGCAUCUCCAAAGGGUUGAGGUUAGGGAGGGCCAGACCCUCCUAGAGUCUUUUUCCUCUUUUACAAAUGUUACUGUUUGAUGUCAUUAUUGUUAUUUAUAAGUCUUUUCUUUGAUUUUAUUUUUUGAUUUUAAAAUCUUAAAAGAAAAAACAUCUAAAUUCAUCCAACAGAUAUUUAAGAUGUCGCUCAGUAAUGGUAGUUUUAGAAUCUUUUUUUCUGUACCCCUUUCACAACUUUAUACCAGGAGUUUAACAGCAGGAGAUGACUUUAGGAGGGUCUUCAGGAAAUGUUCCAUCCAAAUUAUAGUUUUAAUUUUAGUAGUAUUGUUUUUGCAAUUCAUCCAGUCACAUUGAAAACAUCGAACUGACUUGUUACAUCUCACUGUAUUAACUGGUGAGAUCUGGAAACAACAUUCUGAAAAUACAGUUCAGUGUUUAAACAUAAUUUACUGUCUAAUCAAAAAGAUCAGAGAGUUACAUUUGAAUGGAGCAUUUCCAAAGGGUUGAGGUUUGGGAGGGCCAGACCCUCCUAGAAUCUUUUUCCUCUUUUACUCCUCUUACUGUUACUGAGUGAUCUUAACAGAAUUACAAACACGUUUUUUGUUUAAAUUGUUUCUGUAGAACAUUUGUAGACACUGAGGAAUAUUUAGAUAAAAGCUUUUCUUUAAAAUGUCAGACUAACAUGAAUAUUUUAUGUACUCCAACAUUUUUAUCUUUAGAUUUCCCGCAAAAGUCAUUUAAAAUGAAUAUUUUAAAAUGGCUUCAAAUGAUGGAAAGAGCUUCAAGAGGGUCUUCAGAAAUGUUCCAUUCAAAUCUGUUUAAAACUUUGUUAAAGUUAAUAUGAUGAAUUUAAAAACAAGUGAAGAAAUUCUUCUAUAAUCUGUAUUUACAAUGUCUAUAAUGAUUUUACAUUUCAGCUUAUGAAAUGUUAAGAAAUGAACCAAGAAUUUUUGACCAGUUUUAAGUCAUUGUUGUUUGUUAUAUUUGAAUGGAACAUUUCCAAAGGGUAGAGGUUAGGGAGGGUCAGACCCUCCUGAAGCUCUUUACCUCUGAUACUCAUGUUAAUAUCAGAAAUCAUCACUAUUAAUGAUGACUUCUUCUUCUGUUGUUUUAAUAUCUUCAAGGAAAAUUCAUCCCAAUUUGACAAAAGAGAGCAAAAUUUAAAAUUUUUCUCAGUAAUUGUGAUGCUUCAAAGUCAUUUGUUUGUGUGAAUAUUCAUCAGUUAAUUAAAGUGCAUAUUUAAAGAGAUUGUAAAAGCAGGAGAAGACUUUAGGAGGGUCUACAGGAAAUGCUCCAUCCAAAUUAUUAUUACAAUUAUUAUUGUUGUUUUUGUUGUAAUUCUUCAAGUGACAUUCACAACAUAAAACUGACUUAUUUCAUCUCACUGUAUUAACUGGUGAGAUCUUGAAACUACAUUCUGAAACUACAAUUCAGUGUUUGAACAGAAUUUAUUGUCUAAUCAAAAACAUCAGACAGUUACAUUUGAAUGGAGCAUUUCCAAAGGGUUGAGGUUCGGGAGGGCCAGACCCUCCUAAAGUCUUCAUGCUCUUUUACAAAUGUUAUUAGUAGAUUUCAUCACUAUUAAUGAUGAUUCUUUGUGAUGUUUUAAUAUCUAUAAAGAGAAAAAACAGAAAAAUUGACAAAUGGUGAGGAUUUCCUGUUGUUUUUCAUGUUUUGGGUUUGGUUCGGUCCGUCUCUCGUCGUCUCUUUUUCUCUCCUCCCUAGUUUCCUUUCACUGGUUUGCUGAGGACGUGGCUCGUCACCCUGCAGAUCGUUCCAGAUCAUCAGCUCCUCCAUAAAACCUGGACUCUUCUCUACUCUGGUCACAGAUUGUUCUGAUCCUGUGUUCCUCGCUCAGUUCUCCUAAACUCCAGUGUUUCAUGUGCUCAGUCUUCAGCUCUGCCUCGGUCACUCCAGCCGUCCACCAAACCAGCCAGUCCUCAACCUCCACUGUCCCUUUUGAGACUUUUGUUCAAAUAAAUCACUCUUUUUACCUUACACCCCUUUAUGUUCUCAUGUCCAACUUCACUAAUGUGAUAGCAGGACUGCUGAAGCCAAAGAUGGAAGAGAAGUGCUCAACUGAAACUAGGUUUUCAUUGUUAUAAAGAUUAACAUCUGAACAUGAUAAGCAGACAAGAAAAAAAUAUGAAAAUCUUAGGGCUAAAUUCAACUUGAGCCACUGCAAGUGAUCAACACAACUGAUGACACUGAUGUCCAAAAUGCAGCAUCAUCAACAUUUUUAACUGACACGUUUAUUUAUAAAUUCAUCAUUUUUUAUAUUUUAUAUGGUUUUUCUCAGUAUCUUACAUAAUUGGUGCAUCAUGAUCCCAGUUGUUUUUGGCUAAAGUCAUUGAUCCGUUGCAGUCAGUGGUGCAGUUUGAGAUAAUAUUAACUACAGUAGAGUCUGAGUGUAAAAGUUUCCAAAGACCCAAAGCUUCCAAAGUAUGGGAGUAUUUCAGAUGAUCGCAGAACAACAAGGUGGUUUGUACACUGUGCAGAAUUUUAAUGGCAGACCACAACAACACAGCACAAUUCACAAACACCUGAAGACAAACCUCACACAAGGAACUUCACAUUUGUUAGCUUGUGUACGAUACAUUAGUGAAAAUAAAAUAAAGUAAGCUAUAUAAAAAACACUAGAAUUGAAAAGUAAGUGUGUACUUUAAUUUACCAAAAAUUCUAUGAAAUUUGAAUUGUAUAUGUGUGUGAUGCUUUUUUCAAAAUCAAUCCGUUAGUCAGCAUUUUCUGUGUUGACUGAUCCUUAUUUCAUAUGUUCACUGUGAGGAGCUGCAUCUUGUUCAUUUUGAUAAUAUUUUAAUGGAUUAAUUAACCCUAAUCCAUGGUUUUUUGCUAUUUGUACGAAUUGUUUUCAGAAAUGCGCUUACUGUUUUGCAAAUGCCAAGGAUGAUUUGAGAAAUGUACCAAAACGACUGAGAAAAAUUGGAAAUAAAGCAUCUGAACGCUU